GCAAAUGAAGAUAAGACAAUGUCCGCCAACCUAAAAUACCUUUCUUUAGGAAUUUUGGUCUUUCAGACUACCAGUUUGGUUCUAACGAUGCGUUAUUCUAGGACAUUAAAAGAAGAGGGGCCUCGUUAUCUAUCAUCUACAGCUGUGGUUGUUGCUGAACUUUUGAAGAUAAUGGCCUGCAUUUUAUUAGUCUACAAAGAUAGCAAAUGUAGUCUAAGAGCACUGAAUCGAAUACUACAUGAUGAAAUUCUUAAUAAACCUAUGGAAACACUUAAACUUGCUAUUCCAUCAGGGAUAUAUACUCUUCAGAAUAAUUUACUUUAUGUGGCACUGUCAAAUCUCGAUGCAGCUACUUAUCAGGUCACAUAUCAGUUGAAAAUUCUUACGACUGCACUAUUUUCUGUGUCGAUGCUUAGUAAAAAAUUAGGUGUGUACCAGUGGCUCUCCCUAGUAAUUUUGAUGACAGGAGUUGCUUUUGUACAGUGGCCCUCAGAUUCUCAAGAGCUUAAUUCUAAGGAACUUUCAGCUGGCUCACAAUUUGUAGGCCUCAUGGCAGUUCUCACAGCAUGUUUUUCAAGUGGCUUUGCUGGGGUUUACUUUGAGAAAAUCUUAAAAGAAACCAAACAAUCAGUGUGGAUAAGAAACAUUCAACUUGGUUUCUUUGGGAGUAUAUUUGGAUUAAUGGGAGUAUAUGUUUAUGAUGGAGAACUGGUGUCAAAGAAUGGGUUUUUUCAGGGGUAUAAUCGACUGACCUGGAUAGUAGUUGUUCUUCAGGCACUGGGAGGCCUUGUGAUAGCUGCUGUUAUUAAGUAUGCGGAUAACAUUUUGAAAGGAUUUGCAACCUCUCUGUCCAUAAUAUUAUCAACACUGAUAUCUUAUUUUUGGCUACAAGAUUUUGUACCAACCAGUGUCUUUUUCCUUGGAGCCAUCCUUGUAAUAACAGCUACUUUCCUAUAUGGUUAUGAUCCCAAACCUGCAGGAAAUCCCACUAAAGCAUAGUGGUAAUUUAUCUGGUUUUUCACAAUGGUGCACUGGGAAUCUCAACAUUAAAUGCUGCACGGGGACUUCUACAGAUUCUGAGAGAAAAUCAUCAUGCUGAAAUCUGAUCAUAAUGUUCAAAUGGUUUGAAAAUAUAAAAGUUUAAGGAUGAAAUAUACAUAUAUGUAACAAAAUGCCUAUUGCAUAUAAAAAUCAAAACUUGAAAGUAUUUCCAGGGAUUAGAAUAAUUACUAGAGGAAAUUUAAAAUCUGAGUUUUUAAAAAGAUACUAUGUUUUUGAUUGCUGCAGAAAUAUCCUAUGCACUCUUUGAAACAGCACACAGCAAGUGUCAGACAUCAAUUUUGCAAAUUAUAUAUAUUUAAUUUUAUUAAAUGUUUUUUAUCUUAUUCUUUCUGUACAGAUAUAUCAAAUGACAUGAUAUUCAAAGUUUGAACAUUAUAAUUAUAAAGCUGUGAAGAAAUAAGUAUGAUUUGAAAAACAUUUUCACAUAUCUCAGAUUUUUAUAUUUAUACAGAAGAUUACUAAACAAAGGAUUGCUAUAUGUUGCAAAUGUUCAAAUGCAUAAAACUUGAUAAAGUAACUUUCUGGGUCUGAUUUGUCAGAGAAUAACAUUCAUAUUUAAAUUUAAUUUAAAGAAAUAUACACAUCUGUUUCUCCAUCUAAACUUUAAGACCUCUUUAGUGCUUUGAAACUGCUGAAUGCAAUCCAUUCUUUCCUACGCGAGACAGUAGCCAGUGGCUUUUACAUUAAUGGAGUUUGUCCUUUAUCUCUUAAUUGUAUUUCUUUUCUGUAAAUUGGAUAAAUCCUUAAUAUUACUUUAAAAUAAAUUUCUCUCUGUGUUAAUUUCCAUUAAAGUUUUAAAAUGUAAUUUAACGGGGUUAAAUACUCAUUUAAUAAUUUAAAAUAAUAAUUAUUGUCUAAUGUCUCCAUUUGGAGAAUUUUAAACUAUCAGAGCAUAUACUCUACACAACUAGAGCGUUUUUAGAUGACGAUUUUAUUCAUUGAUCUAUAACUGAUGACAAAACAACCAAAUAUAUGAUAGUAUAGACAUCAAUAAAUUGAGACCAGAAUGACUUAGACAUUCCAGAUUGCCAUGAUAUAUUUUAAAUGGCACUAUAACUAUAAAUUCAAAAUGUUCAGAAGAACUUUCUAGGCCUCUCAUAAACCCACCAUUCCUAGGAAUAUUCUGAUCAAAUGUCUGAGAGAGGCAGCCAAAUUCUGAACUCCCUUUUGUGACCUUACAAAAGCUGCCAAGAAAGAGCCACAACUUUGCUUUACAGUAGUGGUUUAUUUUCCAUUUCUUUUCCAUUUGAUUAGCACUGGAAUUGAGAUUGCAAAUUACAUGAGUUAUGGUUUAGGGAGAGAAAAUAUAGCAGAAAUGAUAAAUGAAUUGGAGGGCACAAUUACUUUCUAAAAUUGAAACAGGGGUUUAAUUUAUUGUUGACUAGAGACAUAAUUUCCUAUUGUGUAUAGAAAUAUUGUACUUUAUUUUUUCCUUUAUGCAUUAUGUAUUUUUAAAAGUCUCCUGUUCUAAUUGUAUAAAAACUGUAAAAAAUAAAUAUUUUUAUAUAAUUCUAAUGGAUUUUGUUAAAAUUUGGCUGAAAUACAAUGUUACAGUCUGUUGGCUAGUCUCGGCUAAUUAGGACUGGCUGUGUUACAUUGCUGAGGCAAACCUAGUCUCAGCAAGACACAGGCCUAAUAUAUUCCAUACAGAGUUUUUAGAAAUGCUUAAAAUUAAAAAGUAUUUUUACAUUAAUUUGCUGGUAAUUCCAAAUUGGUAUCAAGCAAACUUUCUGGAACUCUGACUUACACUUUGCAGUGACUACUUUUUAGAGUAUUUUUAUUACAGAUCUAAAGCUCUUUCAAUUUUAUACUGAUUAAAUCAGUACUGCAGUAUUUGAUUAAAAAAAAGAGUAUUUAUUAAAUAACUUUACUACAAUUUGAGAAUGGUGUUUUUAGACUAUAACAACAUUCAGAUUUACAUUUACUACUUAAUGCUAAGAAAUCUAAAUCCUGUAAUGCAGAGAAUUCAAGACUAAAUAUAAAGAUUUAUGUUCAGCUUACACUGAAGUGUUGGGUACUUAUGUAUUAAUCUGGUAUGCAUUAAUCAUUAGUUGUGAAUUCAAGUUUAGUCUCUCCCAAUUUUAACACUUCAAAAAAUUAUACAAAAACACAACUUUCAAGAUUCCCUCCAAAGUUUAUAAAGUGUAGUCAAGAGUUCGGAGAAUGGGCAAAAUAGUCUAAAGUAUAUUCUCAAAGCAAACUUUUAUUAGACAAGCAUAAUUUAUAUUUUGCUUUUCUAGUAGGUUGGAAUAGAGAAUUGGUUGUAUAGUCUAUAGUUUUUGAUUCAUAAAGAAAUAACCAUAUUUGAAACAGUGGACCCGUGUCCUAGAUCAUGUCAUAUGUACACAUGAUGCCAUUUUCUUCUGUGUGGUGUGUGUUUUAAUGAUCUCCAAAAGCCUUAUUAUGUCACCCUUCUAUAAUGAUGAUUCCUUGGUUAUUUAAAUUCUUAUACUUUUUAAAGUUUACAUUUAUCUCUCAACAAUUUUGUUCGUUUUAAAGAAACGUGCUAACCCAUGGGAGAAGAGUGCCAGUUGAUAGUUCUACAAAACUUUAAAACUAUGGUAUUUUGGAAGAAAAGCUUGAAAUGCAACAUAUAGAUGUAAUCAACACGGUAAUAUUACCAAUUCUUUAAUAAGUGAUUUUUAGAGAAGUCGUAGACUACUUUUACAGUGGAAAAUGUAGUUUAGACAUGCAAAACUUGAAUGUUUACAUCAAUUUAUAUUGAAUGUCACAGUUUCAUAGAAGGAAAGGUGAUUUGAUAUUUAAACUAGAUUCCAAGGAGACAGAAUCUGAGUGGAAACUAAUUGACUUUGUGCUUAGUAGACCUAGUGUAAUAAGACUAUUCCUAAGAAUUGAUAAACUUUUCCUACAUAUCAGAUUAUUAAACUUUAACAUGUCAUUGUAUAGUCACUCAUCUGAAUUUUGUAUUUAAAAAUAGGGUUUAGCAUCACUCAUUUUAUUUACACAUUCGUUACUGUAAUAUUUAAUUACAUGUGAAUGUAUGCUCUACAUGAUAAAAAGUUUAUAAAAGUUAUUUAUGCUAUAUUGAAAGUCAUCUUAAGAAUCUCCCAGAUAUGUAGCUUAUAUAAAGUAUUUGUAGGACCAAAGAAAAAGCACCUUCAUCAAAAUCUGGUCCUGUGUGCCUUGCUUUACCAAAUACCCGGCUUUUCUUGAGGAUAUUACUGUAAUUCACAAUUUUGGACACAUAGGCAAAAUUAGGAUGUUUUAAGAAUAACUAUAAUUCAAUGUUUUCAUUGUUUCAACAUUUGCUAUUUAAAUUCAUUAUCUAACAGAAUAUUGAAAUAGGUAUAUUGUACAAAUAUUAGUAAAUAGAACUUAUUUAAAGAAAUUAUGGUACCAUUGCUCCAUCAUUGAACUUUUGAAACUUUAACAAUUGUAUAUAACUCUCAUUUUGAUUUUUUUCUUAUUAUAAGAUAAAAUUUACUGUGAUUUUUAAAAUAUUUUUUAAAUGAUCUGGAUUCCACAUUUGUCAUUAUAUGUAUUUCAUUUGUUUAGAAAGAUUCUUUUGGGUUUGGGGUUGUGAUUUGUAUAUUUAAAUUUUUUAUGGACAUAAUUCAAAAGAAUGUAUAAAUUGGUCUUUUGUUUAAAUGGCUUUUUAAUUGAUAAAUUUCUCUUUGUCAUUUUUUGGUAUCCAGUUAUUUUCUUUUCUCUAGAUUUCUGAAAAUAGAUUAUUUUCAUAACUAUGUAAAUUUUUUCCUAUAUUUCCUUUUUUCCUAUUCACCUGUGUCUGACUUAACCAUGAAUUAGUCUUUCCAUAUAUCAAAAAUGACUCCCUGAGCCCUUUCCUGCCUCUCUGGUUACCUUUAUCAUGUAUGUGAUCUUCCUUUUUACUAUGCUAUAGUGUGAAAGACUGGAUCUUAUUUAAACUAGUUAGAAUUUCUCUACCUGUAUGAUUGUAACAGUCUAAAACUUUUUGCUUUAAACAAAUUAUCUCUUUUGAUAGCAUCAAAGUUAAGAGAUUAUAGUAAUUGGUAUAUAUUUUCUUCAUAAUUUAUUGUUUUGGCUGUGUUGCAUGGCUUGCAGGAUCUUAGUUCCCCAACCAGGGAUCAAACCUAUGCCCCCUGCAGUGGAAGUGUGGAAUUCUAACUACAUGAGGAGCACCAACUGAACAUCUUUAUAUUUGUAUUGGAAUACUUCUGUUGAAAGUAUAUCAAAAUUCUUGAAUCCUGUGCUAUGCAAAUAUGCUUCAUAAUAGUGACCAGUAUUAGUAAUCACGAUUGUCUUUCUUACUGUUCUUAAAGAGAAUUUUUUUCAAAGCAGGAUUACCUACACAUUCUAGAAGUGAAAAUAUAAGAGGAAAUAAACUGUCCUCAAAUCCCAAAGAUUUGAAAUUCUACUAUUGUAGAGUGUCUUGGUGACUAUAAAUUCAGAGGUUUCCCAAAUUCACCUAGGUUCAAUAAUUCACUGGAAAGACAGAACUCACUGAAAGCUAUUAUACUCACAAUCAUAGUUAUUCCAGAGAAAGGAUACAAAUUAGAACCAGACAAAGGAAGAGAACAUUGGACAGAGAUAAGGAGGGGUCUAAAUUCCAGUCAUCCUUUCCAAUUGUCCACUCCUGGUGAAGCCUUGGACAAUGCUGUAUAUAUACUCCUAGCUAAAAUCGAUGAUACUCCAUGCAGAGUACUGCCAACUGGGAAAAUUCACCCAUGCUCUUGUUUUCAUAUUUUUACCACAGUCUUAGUAUUUGGCAUGCUUGAUUGAUUCUUUGAUCACAUAAUUGAACUCACUCUCCAGCCCUGAUCUCCCCGGAGAAGUAGCAGACCCCAUAAAUUAGCCUGUGUAAUUUGAGGAGCCCAACAUGAAUAACAGCGACACGUCUGCUGAAACCUCCUGAGGAUGUAGGCCAGAACUUUUUUUGGCCUGGAAGAGGCUUCCUCGCACCCUGAUGGCUUCUUUUCCCUGUCGUGACUUUUUGAAGAAUCUAAGUUACUUGACAUCUGUCCUUGGUCUGUCUAUAUACUUGAUUUGUUUUCUUUAUUUGCAUUUCCUUUGAACUGGAAGUCUAUAGGUUUGAUUAAAUUCAGGUUAAAUGUUUUUUGAAAGCAUUUAAUGGAUUAUCUUAUAGGCUUUAUAUUGUAUCAUAUCAGAAGACACGCAAUUCUAGAUUGUCUCAUUAUUGAUGAUAAUUGUGCAGUUAAGAUUAUGACUAACAGAUCUUUCCAUUGUAAAGGUCAGUUUUCUCCCUUUAGUAAUAGUAUUCUUUAGGGUAAUAUUUUGGCACCAUGAGAAUGUUCUUUUUUCUAACAGCCUUUUAUUUAAUGUCUCUAGCAUCAACUGAUGAUCUUAAUUGAAUCGUUUAUCACAUUGAGGUGCAAAAUGAUGGUUUAAAAUUUUUAAUUCUCAAAAAACAAAUUUUUUUCAAAUUCUCUAAUUUUCUUUUACGUUUAUUAGUUUGUUCUCUAUUUUAAAAAGAUUAUUUUCACACACCCCAGAGGCGACGGCGGUGAGGCGCCGCCCGACCUGCAGGCACAGUGUUAUGUAUUGAAGAUACUGCUUUUGGAGCAGGAAAUGUUUAUGAUCCUACAAUGAUAGAGCUGGAAGGCACCUUCUCAGCCUACCCUCUCAUUUUGUAAAGGAGGGAAAAAAGAAGCUCUAUAGCAGUGAUCAGAAUCAUCCAGCCUGCCUGUGCUACUAGAUGAAUGGAAAACUUUGAUUUAAACAAAGUACUUACAAGGAAUUGUCCUUGAUUUUUGUUCUUUGUAGCAUUCCUCAAAUUCUUUUCACAUUUUUCCUUACUGUAAAAACUACAUUUAAGUUAGAAAAUGAAGCAAUUGAAGAGGAAAAGGAAAAGCAAUUUCAGUGUACAAGAAACUCAGACCCUUUUGAAAGAAAUUACGAAAAGGAAAGAAGUAAUUUUUUCCAAGCAACUCAAUACAACAAUUAAUGUGAUGAAGCGAAUGGCUUGGGAGGAGAUUGCACAGUGUGUGAAUGCUGUAGAGGAGAGCAGAGAACAGGGACAGAAGUGAAAAGAAGGUACCUUGACUGGCGAGCCCUUAUGAAGAGAAAGAAGAUGAAGGCGAACAUUAAGCUAGUUGGUUCAGGGUUUCCCUUACCCACAUCUGAUUUAGAUGACUCUCUCACUGAAGAGAUAGAUGAAAAGAUUGGAUUCUGAAGUGAUACAAAUUUUGAUUGGCAAAAUGUGGCAGAUUUCAGGGAUGCAGGUGGUUCCUUAACUGAGGUCAAGGUGGAAGAGGAAGAAAGAGAUCCCCAGAGUCCUGAAUUUGAGAUCGAAGAGGAAGAAGAAAUGUUGUCAUCAGUCAUACCAGAUUCCAGGAGGGAAAAUGAACUUCCUGAUUUCCCCCACAUUGAUGAAUUUUUUACUCUGAACUCAACACCGUCUAGGUCUGCAUAUGAUGAGCCCCAUUUGCUUGUAAACAUAGAGAAACAGAAACUAGAAUUGGAAAAACGAAGGCUUGAUAUUGAGGCUGAAAGACUGCAGGUAGAGAAGGAACGCCUACAGAUUGAGAAAGAGAGGCUGCGACAUUUAGACAUGGAGCAUGAGCGACUUCAGCUGGAAAAGGAGCGGUUGCAGAUUGAAAGAGAGAAGCUGAGAUUACAUAUAGUCAGCUCAGAGAAGCCAUCUUUGGAAAGUGAACUUGGUCAAGGGGAAAAGUCCAUACAUCAACCACAGGAUAUAGAAACCAAGAAGUUAAAACUUGAGAGAGAACGCUUACAACUGGAAAAAGAUAGGCUGCAGUUUUUGAAAUUUGAAUCAGAGAAGCUGCAGAUUGAAAAGGAACGCUUACAAGUAGAGAAAGAGAGACUACGAAUUCAGAAGGAAGGACAUUUGCAGUGAUUUAUCUAGGUCUCCAUUUUAUCAAAUAUUUGUAAACCAUAGGUUUAGGUUUAAAAAUGGUUGCAGGAUUAGCUGUAUUGUUGUUUUUUUCCCCUGUUUAACAUUAGUGUUUUCCAUAGGAAAAAGAUGAUUAUUUGUGGGUAAUUAUAUGCUUAAGUCUUCUAGGAAAACUAUGCGCCCUAGCAUAAACAGUAUAGCAGAAAUUGUUGUACUAUACUCUUUAAAUUAGUAAAAUUACACACAGUCUUGCAUAAUCUAUGGACUCAGAGUUUACAAUUAUGUCUGUAUAAAAUUCUAGCUCAGUAGUUGUCAACUGGGGGUGACUUUGGCCCCCAGAAGACAUUUGGCAAUAUCUGGCAACAUUUUUUGGUUGUCAGAAUUGGAAAGUUGGGCACAUUGCUCCUGGCAUGCAGUAGGUAGAGGCUAGGGAUGCCUACAUCCUGCAAUGCACAGGACAGUUUCCACCCUCCUCUCCACCAAAAAAAAAAA